AUUGAACGCUGGCGGCAGGCCUAACACAUGCAAGUCGAACGGUAGCACAGAGAGCUUGCUCUCGGGUGACGAGUGGCGGACGGGUGAGUAAUGUCUGGGAAACUGCCCGAUGGAGGGGGAUAACUACUGGAAACGGUAGCUAAUACCGCAUAACGUCUUCGGACCAAAGUGGGGGACCUUCGGGCCUCACACCAUCGGAUGUGCCCAGAUGGGAUUAGCUAGUAGGUGGGGUAAUGGCUAACCUAGGCGACGAUCCCUAGCUGGUCUGAGAGGAUGGCCAGCCACACUGGAACUGAGACACGGUCCAGACUCCUACGGGAGGCAGCAGUGGGGAAUAUUGCACAAUGGGCGCAAGCCUGAUGCAGCCAUGCCGCGUGUAUGAAGAAGGCCUUCGGGUUGUAAAGUACUUUCAGCGGGGAGGAAGGCGGUGAAGUUAAUAGCUUCAUCGAUUGACGUUACCCGCAGAAGAAGCACCGGCUAACUCCGUGCCAGCCGCCGCCGUAA
rnacentral:rRNA from 1 species